rnacentral:rRNA from 1 species
UACGUAGGUCACAAGCGUUGUCCGGAUUUAUUGGGCGUAAAGGGAGCGCAGGCGGUUUGUUAAGUCUGAUGUGAAAGCCCACGGCUCAACCGUGGAACGGCAUUGGAAACUGGCAAACUUGAGUAUAGAAGAGGAAAGUGGAAUUCCAUGUGUAGCGGUGAAAUGCGUAGAUAUAUGGAGGAACACCAGUGGCGAAGGCGACUUUCUGGUCUAUAACUGACGCUGAGGCUCGAAAGCGUGGGGAGGCGAACAGGAUUAGAUACCCUGGUA